UACGUAGGCAGCAAGCGUUGCUCGGAAUCACUGGGCGUAAAGCGCACGUAGGCGGCUUUCUAAGUCAGGGGUGAAAUCCUGGAGCUCAACUCCAGAACUGCCUUUGAUACUGGAGCUUGAGUCCGGGAGAGGUGAGUGGAACUCCGAGUGUAGAGGUGAAAUUCGUAGAUAUUCGGAAGAACACCAGUGGCGAAGGCGGCUCACUGGCCCGGUACUGACGCUGAGGUGCGAAAGCGUGGGGAGCAAACAGG
rnacentral:rRNA from 1 species